GGGAAUCUUGCGCAAUGGGCGAAAGCCUGACGCAGCCAUGCCGCGUGAAUGAUGAAGGUCUUAGGAUUGUAAAAUUCUUUCACCGGGGAAGAUAAUGACGGUACCCGGAGAAGAAGCCCCGGCUAACUUCGUGCCAGCAGCCGCGGUGAUACGAAGGGGGCUAGCGUUGCUCGGAAUUACUGGGCGUAAAGGGCGCGUAGGCGGACAGUUUAGUCAGAGGUGAAAGCCCAGGGCUCAACCUUGGAAUUGCCUUUGAUACUGGCUGUCUUGAGUGCGGGAGAGGUGUGUGGAACUCCGAGUGUAGAGGUGAAAUUCGUAGAUAUUCGGAAGAACACCAGUGGCGAAGGCGACACACUGGCCCGUUACUGACGCUGAGGCGCGAAAGCGUGGGGAGCAAA
rnacentral:rRNA from 1 species